rnacentral:rRNA from 1 species
AUGUGUGUUCCAAAGAAUAAAGGUGGUAUGGAAUUUAGAGACCUACACAGCUUUAACCUUGCUAUGUUAGCAAAGCAGUGUUGGCGACCUCUCCAAAGACCUGAUUCUCUGUGUGCACGAGUAUUGAAAGCAAAGUAUUACCCCAAUGGUGAUAUAUUGAGUGCUCGACCAAAGAAGGGUUCAUUGUUUACAUGGUAGAGUAUCAUUACAGGUAUCCAAACUUUAAAGAGAGGGUGCAUUUGGCAUGUUGGUUUGGGACCACAUAUUAACAUUUGGGAUGAUACUUGGAUUCAUGCUAGUGAGUCAAGGAAAAUUAUUACCCCAAGAGGAGGAACAAUGAUGUCCAAAGUGGAGGAAUUAAUCGAUCCGCAUACGGGUCAGUGGGAUGAUGAACUCCUAUGUGACAUCUUUCUACCUGUUGAUGUGUACAGAAUAUCCUGGAAGCCACUUUGCUCGUUCAGACUAUCCCAAAAGGUCCCAAAUCAACCCAAUUUGGAAGGACUUAUGACAAUUGAGAAUCCAGUGGAAGAUAAAGCACUUUGGAUGCUUUAG